GACGAACGCUGGCGGCGUGCUUAACACAUGCAAGUCGGGCGGUAAGGCCCUUUCGGGGGUACACGAGCGGCGAACGGGUGAGUAACACGUGGGUGACCUGCCCUCAGCUCUGGGAUAAGCCUGGGAAACCGGGUCUAAUACUGGAUAUGACUCCAUGACGCAUGUUGUGGGGUGGAAAGCCUUGUGCGGCUGAGGAUGGGCCCGCGGCCUAUCAGCUUGUUGGUGGGGUGAUGGCCUACCAAGGCGACGACGGGUAGCCGGCCUGAGAGGGCGACCGGCCACACUGGGACUGAGACACGGCCCAGACUCCUACGGGAGGCAGCAGUGGGGAAUCUUGCGCAAUGGGCGAAAGCCUGACGCAGCGACGCCGCGUGAGGGAUGACGGCCUGU
rnacentral:rRNA from 1 species